rnacentral:rRNA from 1 species
CACGUAGGGUGCGAGCGUUGUCCGGAAUUAUUGGGCGUAAAGAGCUCGUAGGCGGUGUGUCGCGUCGGCCGUGAAAACCUGCAGCUUAACUGUGGGCUUGCGGUCGAUACGGGCAUCACUGGAGUUCGGCAGGGGAGACUGGAAUUCCUGGUGUAGCGGUGAAAUGCGCAGAUAUCAGGAGGAACACCGGUGGCGAAGGCGGGUCUCUGGGCCGAUACUGACGCUGAGGCGCGAAAGCUAGGGGAGCGAACAGG